rnacentral:rRNA from 1 species
UACGGGGGGAGCAAGCGUUGUUCGGAAUUACUGGGCGUAAAGCGCGUGUAGGCGGUUGUCCAAGUUGGAUGUGAAAGCCUUGAGCUUAACUCAAGAAAUGCAUUCAGGACUGGAUGACUAGAGGACCGGAGAGGAUAGUGGAAUUCCCAGUGUAGUGGUGAAAUACGUAGAGAUUGGGAAGAACACCAGUGGCGAAGGCGGCUAUCUGGACGGUUUCUGACGCUAAGACGCGAAAGCGUGGGGAGCAAACAGG